rnacentral:rRNA from 1 species
CGUGUAGGCGGUUAUGUAAGUCUGGUGUGAAAUAUCUCGGCUCAACCGAGGAGAUGCGCUGGAAACUGUGUAACUAGAGUGAUGGAGGGGAACUGGAAUUCCUGGUGUAGGGGUGAAAUCUGUAGAUAUCAGGAAGAACACCGGUGGCGAAGGCGAGUUCCUGGCCAUUAACUGACGCUGAGGCGCGAAAGCGUGGGGAGCGAACA